GGGGUUGUGGCUCAGUGGUAGAGUGCUUGCCUAGCAUGGGUGAGGCACUAGGUUAAAUCCCUAGCACCCCA
rnacentral:tRNA from 1 species